GAUAGGUGUAAUUAACAACUGGACUAAGAUCUCGGCUCACAGAGACAGUUCGUGACAGCAGAAUCUCGGCUCACCUUGACGUACAUAAAUUUCGUAUCGGUUUCUCGCUCCCAGUUUUUACCGAUGUUAAAAGGGCCCUCUUUGAAUGUUAGUCAGGGGUUUUUGUGCCGACUCUAUUUUAAUCGAUUGACUGAAUUGUAUCUGAGCACCCCUAGCGAGGCACAACUCGCACGGCGGAUCGCAACGAUCACAACCGCGAGUAAACAAACAACCGUUUUUUAAACCGCUGCAGUUCGGUAAGUGUUCGUCCGUAUUUUCUUGAAAUUUUUUAAAAAGCCGGAUUUUCGUCCGCGGGGGACAUCUGUGCUAUGUGCGAGUCCGGCUCGCCGUGAAGUAUCCUGGCCCGGUUGGAACAGCUUAAGCAAUGGAAUCAGGAAAAGCAGCGCGUUUUAUUGCAGAACCAAAUGGCCCAGCGGGAAUUGCUGAGCCAGUAACAGCAGAAGAUGUACGUCAUUCUGGGGCUGAAUCACGGGGGAGGGGAAAAUGACCCUAUACCGGAUGUUAGUGACGAGGACGAUUCGGAAUUUGAACAGACCAACAUGCAGCGAAAAGUGGCAGGAGAAUGGAGGCGAAGCGCUAGGGAACAACCUCCGGUUGAAAGUGACGAGGAGAUUGAGAGGGAACCAGUAAAACGGAGGGAUUUCAGCUGGACAAUUUGCCCAAAUAUAAGUAUGCCAAUCUCGCCAAAUCUAGAGCGCAAAAUGCCAAGAAACGACGGAUAAGUCUCAAAACCAUUCGGGUAGGAAUGCCGGAACGAGAGAAGAGUCGCCGCCGAGGGUGGCUUUGG